rfam:Trichinella murrelli scaffold192s, whole genome shotgun sequence.
GUCGGCUACGGUGACAUGUACCCGACCUCGGUGCCGGGCAAGAUCAUCGGCGCCAUGUGUUGCAUUUGUGGUGUGCUGGUGAUCGCGUUGCCUAUUCCAAUAAUUGUGAACAAU